CUUUCACCUCCUUGGUUAAGUAUAUUACUAGGUGUUUUAUUUCUUUGCAGCUGCUGUGAAAGGGGUUCAGUUCUUCUCAACUUGGUUGUUUUUGAUGUACAGCAGUGCUACUGAUUUGUGUAAAUUGAUUUUGUAACCUGAGACUUUACUGAACUCCUUUAUCAAAUCUAGGAGUCUUUAGGGUUUUCUAGGUAUACAAUUAUACCAUUGGUAAACAGUAGUAGUUUGACUUCCUUUUUUCUUAUUUGGAAACCCUAUAUUUUCUUCUCUUUCCUGAUUGCUCUGGCUAGGACUUCCAUUACUAUGUUGAACAGAAGUGGUGAAAGUGGGCAUCCUUGUCUUGUUCCAGUACUCAGGGGGAAAGCUUUCAACUUUUCUCCAUUCACUAUGAUGUUGGCUGUGGGUUUGUCAUAGAUGGCUUUGAUUCAUUUGAGAGCUAGAUGAUAGAGCAAGACAGUCUACAUUUAUUUCAUGUCUGAAAGGCUGGAAAAGAGAUCAUGUUCCCCACCAUCUUCACCUGAUCAUGUAAGUCCUCUACAAGGCACUUAGCCCUUCUUAACUGCUGAGCAUGUCGCCCUUCUUAUAUA
rnacentral:lncRNA from 10 species